AUUGAACGCUGGCGGUAUGCUUAACACAUGCAAGUCGAACGGUAACAGGUCUAGCUUGCUAGAUGCUGACGAGUGGCGGACGGGUGAGUAACGCGUAGGGAUCUGUCUAGGGGUGUGGGACAACUCGGGGAAACUCGAGCUAAUACCACAUACGUUUUAGUAUGUAAAAGUUUAAAGAAAGGCGGGUAGCAAUACCUGUUGCUCUUAGGUGAACCUGCGUUGGAUUAGCUAGUUGGUGGGGUAAAGGCCGUACCAAGGCGACGAUCCAUAGCUGUUCUGAGAGGAAGAUCAGCCACACUGGGACUGAGACACGGCCCAGACUCCUACGGGAGGCAGCAGUGGGGAAUAUUGGACAAUGGGCGGAAGGCCUGAUCCAGCAAUACCGCGUGUGUGAAGAAGGCCUGUGGGUUGUAAAGCACUUUCAGCGAGGAGGAAGGUUGUAUGGUUAAUACCCAUGCGAUUUGACGUUACUCGCAGAAGAAGCACC
rnacentral:rRNA from 1 species